rnacentral:lncRNA from 1 species
UCCUUAUAUCACAUACGUACAAUAGAAACUAUAUUGACAAGUUUGAUUGGGGAUUUGUGAAUUAAUUGACAAAUACUGAUUCACAAUGCUUUUACAAACCAAUACGCCCUGAUCCAUAUAUUGAUACUCGAUUUCAAUUAAACCAUCAUUGAAGACAUCAUCAUUCUCAUCUUUAGGCUUCAAACUGUCAUAACUCCAAUAACAUAACUUCGACUGCAUAUGAUAAGGAGGUUGAUAGCCCUAACAGGAACACAAACAAAUUAAAGGAGAGAGGGAGUAAAUGAGCUUGUUUAUUUUAGUAAAAGUAAUUGAGCUUAUUACAAAACACUCAUGACAAUACUCAUUUGAUAAUGGUAAGUUAAUAUUUGAAAAUUGAAAUCAAAACUUUGUAACUAUAGUAUGUGAAACUAAUGGUAAUUAUAUUCUAAUUUAACUAGAUCCUUAACUUUUUUUUAUCAACAAUGAAAUUUAUUAAUAUAAAAUGUGUAAAUUAGAAGAACAAGUGAUACUCAUCAUAUUUAUAACCACAAAAUUUAUCAAGAAAAAAGACAAUUAGACGGGUUCAACACCCAUUCUGAAAAUGAGAAGUUGAAAUUCUUACAACGAAUACUUACGGUAUUCCAAGAAUGUAAAAAUAUAAGAUCAAUCACCUCUUCGAGAAAUAAUGUACCUACGUUACUUACAUUAAACUUCUGAUACAAAUAUGUAUGUUGUUCAUAGUUGUCCUAACCUAAAUGACUCAAACUAAAAAAAAAACUAAUUAAUGAUAAUUAUGAUCUCAACAACAAUUUAGAAUCAUUAAUAUGAUAAUUACGUUUCUGCAUAUUUGGAAUUAAAUUUGAAUAAAAAUGCGUACUAUUUUUGCUAUAAGUUGUUGGUGUAUUUAUUGUUUGUCUUAGAUGCAACUUUUUACUCCCUUCAAUUUUACCUGCAUGUCAAAGACCAAAACAAGAUAUUUUUAGCUUCUUUAUUUUGUACGUAAAUGAAAUAUAUUUUUUAAAUACAAUACUAUACACUAGUAUAUAAUUCAAUGUCAUAGUUUAAAUCAAAAGGGUCUAACUAAGUUACUUAAAUAUGAAAUUUUAGGUAUGAUCUCUAAAUUCAUGUAUAUGUAAAAAAAUAUUAUAUAAACGGGUUCAAACUUAAUCAUAUGAUUAACCAAUUUUGGAGAUUAGUUUCUUACCAAUCAGGUCGAAAACUUAACACUGUAUUUUUUCAUCAUGUCACUCGUUACCCGUUUGUCGGAUGGAGAUGAUCACCUUCCUUUCCUUCAUGAUCAUGUUCCAAUGCUCUCCAUAAUUUCUUCUUCCAAUUUAGAACCAUAAUGUGACUUACAACAGUGACCCGUGCUAGUGUAUCAAAAAAUCUCACCACAAAUUCUAGUUUAAGGACAUAAAAUACAAGCUUUUUUUUGUUUCCCACAUGUUUCCUCACACUGGAGGCAAUCCUGUCUGAGCCGGGAACAUCCACAGGUACGUGGGGCUAACUCUCCCAACAUAUAUUUUUUCCUUCCACAAGACUCGAACCCGAGACCUUGCUUAAGAGGAAUCAAGCAUGUACCACUUG